UACGUAGGGUGCAAGCGUUGUCCGGAAUUAUUGGGCGUAAAGAGCUCGUAGGCGGUCUGUCGCGUCUGCUGUGAAAACUCAGGGCUUAACCCCGGGCCUGCAGUGGGUACGGGCAGACUAGAGUGCGGUAGGGGAGACUGGAAUUCCUGGUGUAGCGGUGAAAUGCGCAGAUAUCAGGAGGAGCACCGGUGGCGAAGGCGGGUCUCUGGGCCGUAACUGACGCUGAGGAGCGAAAGCGUGGGGAGCGAACAGG
rnacentral:rRNA from 1 species